CAACUACUCCCUCUGUCCCAAAUUUCUUGUCUUAGAUUUGUCUAGAUACGGAUGUAUCUAAUACUAAAAUGUGACUUGAUACAUCCGUAUCUAGACAAAUCUAAGACAAGAAUUUUGNAGACAAGAAUUUUGGGACGGAGGGAGUACUUU
rnacentral:pre_miRNA from 1 species